CGCUGGCGGCGUGCCUAACACAUGCAAGUCGAACGGAGUGAAGCCCUUCGGGACUUUACUUAGUGGCGAACGGGUGAGUAACGCGUGAGGAACCUGCCUUUCAGUGGGGGACAACAGUUGGAAACGACUGCUAAUACCGCAUGAUACUUUUUGGAGGCAUCUCUGGAAAGUCAAAGAUUUAUUGCUGAAAGAUGGUCUCGCGUCUGAUUAGCUAGUUGGCGGGGUAACGGCCCACCAAGGCGACGAUCAGUAGCCGGUCUGAGAGGAUGAACGGCCACAUUGGGACUGAGACACGGCCCAAACUCCUACGGGAGGCAGCAGUGGGGAAUAUUGCACAAUGGGGGAAACCCUGAUGCAGCGACGCCGCGUGAGUGAUGAAGUAUUUCGGUAUGUAAAACUCUAUCAGCAGGGAAGAUAAUGACGGUACCUGACUAAGAAGCACCGGCUAAAUACGUG
rnacentral:rRNA from 1 species